AAUGGACGCUGGCGGCAUGCCUAACACAUGCAAGUCGAACGAAGGCCCGAUUUCGGUUGGGUCCUUAGUGGCGCACGGGUGCGUAACGCGUGGGAAUCUGCCCCUCGGUUCGGAAUAACAGUUAGAAGUGACUGCUAAUACCGGAUGAUGACGUAAGUCCAAAGAUUUAUCGCCGAGGGAUGAGCCCGCGUAGGAUUAGCUAGUUGGUGUGGUAAGAGCGCACCAAGGCGACGAUCCUUAGCUGGUCUGAGAGGAUGAUCAGCCACACUGGGACUGAGACACGGCCCAGACUCCUACGGGAGGCAGCAGUGGGGAAUAUUGGACAAUGGGCGAAAGCCUGAUCCAGCAAUGCCGCGUGAGUGAUGAAGGCCUUAGGGUUGUAAAGCUCUUUUACCCGGGAUGAUAAUGACAGUACCGGGAGAAUAAGCUCCGGCUAACUCCGUGCCAGCCGCCGCGGUAA
rnacentral:rRNA from 1 species